rnacentral:rRNA from 1 species
UACGAGGGGGGCGAGCGUUGUUCGGAAUUAUUGGGCGUAAAAGGGUGCGUAGGCGGUUUGGUAAGUCUGAUGUGAAAUCUAUGGGCUCAACUCAUAGUCUGCAUCGGAAACUGCCGGGCUUGAGUGUGGGAGAGGUGAGUGGAAUUCCUGGUGUAGCGGUGAAAUGCGUAGAUAUCAGGAGGAACACCUGUGGCGAAAGCGGCUCACUGGACCAUAACUGACGCUGAUGCACGAAAGCUAGGGGAGCAAACAGG